rnacentral:rRNA from 1 species
AUGUUACAAAUCAAUGCAGAGUGGGAAAGAGAAAUGGAAAUCAAAAUCACAGAAGAUGAUGAAGUUCAUAACCCUAACCCGUAUGAUUUCAUCUAUAGCAACAUACCAAAGAACACACACAUGCUCAAAAUGGUACCAAAUUGCAGCUUCUGCUAUGCAACAAAAUUCAAGUAUGAAACUAAGGGGUUAUGCUGCAGAAAAGGAUGGAUAAGACUAGCCAAUCCAGAUACACCACCGGAACUCAGGAGACUUUGGACAAGCAACGAAUCAGAUGCAAGCCAUUUUCGGAACAAUAUAAGAUUUUUCAACGGACACUUCUCAUUCACUACUCUAUACUGCAACCUUGACAAAGAAACAACUGACAUGCGAAAAGCUGGUAUUUAUACGUUUCGAGCACAUGGUCAGAUCUAUCAUAAUAUACACUCAUUUGGUAACAGUCGCUCAGAUCCAAAGCAUCUGGAGUUAUACUUCUACGAUGAUGAUCCAAGCUUGGAGCAUCGUUACCGCCGUUGCCUCGAGGAAAUGUACGAGCAAGACAAGCAGGUGAUUCGAAUAAUAAUCGACAUUCUACGCGAUAAUCCAUACUCUCAACAGUUCAGGAGUUUGGGACAAGCCCAAAACCUUGAGGACUACAGACUCAUAUUGAACCUUGACCAAAGAUUGGACCAAAGAACUUACAAUGCACCAAUCAAUUCGGAGGUAGCUGCAGUGUGGAUUGAAGGAAAUGAAAGAAGAGAUACUUAUGACAAGAAUAAUACUACAUGGGAACAACAACGAAAUAGAGCACAUUCGAUCAUAUUACGGGUGCUAUGA